rnacentral:rRNA from 1 species
UAUCUGUCCUGCAUUCAGCCACUUGGCAUUGGCGCCCGCGUAGCCGGCGGCCCCAGAUUGGGACGGUUACGCUGGGCAAUGUUGGUGCCGAGUGGUGCAUUUGUAGGUGGAGUGCGCCGAGGCGUUCGGGGCAGCGGUGUGAGCUUAGCUUUGAGGCCAGCUUGCUGGUACCCGGGCUGGGGGAGCAUUGUUUGCCUUGGGCGUUUAUAGAGGGAGUAUGGCUUACGAGCUCGGGUUGGUGUCGAGCUGAGAGUCGGCGGCGGUCGCAGGCGACACGUGCUGUGCUAUUAGUUCGGUCCUGCUCGAGCUCACAUGCUCGCUCUCGGUGUNAAAANGCUGGUCAUCUUUCCGACCCGUCUUGAAANCNACGGNACCAANGGAGUUUAUCGUGUGCGCGAGUCAUUGGGCGUUGAAAACCCAAAGGCGCAAUGAAAGUGAAUGCUCCGCAAGGAGCUUACGUGCGAUCCUGGGCACCRCGGUGUCCGGGCGCAGCAUGGCCCCAUCCUGACUGCUUGCAGUGGGGUGGCGGAAGAGCGUACGCGGUGAGACCCGAAAGAUGGUGAACUAUUCCUGAGCAGGAUGAAGCCAGAGGAA